UAAAUUUUUGUUUUUUAUUUUUUAGUAUUGUGUACUAUUUGAGGAAAAUUACAUUUUUAUGUAGAAUAGAAAAAAAAGGUAGAAGUGAAGGGUUUUUUAUUUUGGUGCCUUAAAUUAAUAAUACCUGGGCUGGGAGUUGAAAAUUCGACUUUUUUGUUAAACUGUUUUGUUGUUUUUUAUUAGAAAAAUUGGAUAGUUAGGUGGUUGUUUUGGGAGUUUGAGGUUUUUGUAGGUGUUCGGGUUUUUUGUGUUUUUAUAACGUUUUCUUUUUUUUUUUUUUAGGUUUUGUGUUUUUUAUUAAUUUUUUUAAUAAAUUUAUGGAUUUUGGAUUUUAGUAGUUUCUUUGAAAUUUUUGUUUUUGGGUUUUUAAUUUUUUGUUGUGAACUUGUUUUCUGGUCAAAUGUUUAUUAAAGACUUAGAUUUUUUUUUAAGGUUGGCUUCUGCUCUAUGUUUGUAUAAAUGGCAGUCUUAGCGUGAGGACAUUAAGGUAGCAAAAUAAUUUGUGCUUUUAAUGGGUUCUAGUAUGAAUGGGGUUAGUGGCUGGUUUUUUACUUUGGUUUGUAUGAAUUAGUUUUGUAUUUAAGAAGUAAUAGGUGAUAUUAUGCAAAGAUAAGUCUUCGGAAAUUUUUUUGUUAGAAUUUUUUGUAUUUUUUUGACAUGUUUUCUAGGGUAGAGUGUUUUGUAACUUUUUUUACUAUUAUUAAUUGAAAAAAUUACUUCGGAGUUAACAGAAAAUCAUAUCUGAUUUAGUUCUUAUAAUAAUGAUAAGUUUUACAUCGAUGUUGUAUUUUAGUUCUUGAAGGGAGGAGAGUAUUUCGGGUUUUAGACUGUUCUUCUUUUAUUAAACUAAACGUGAUAUUAGUUUAAUUCAUUGUGAGAUAGAAUUGUUUAUCUUGAUAAUGUCUUGAUUUUGAUUACUGAAAGUACGAAAGGAAAUUUGUUGAAGUUUUAAACUUUUUAAAAGUGAUAAGUACUUUUU
rnacentral:rRNA from 1 species